GGCGAACGGGUGAGUAAUACGUGAGUAACCUGCCCUUGACUCUGGGAUAAGCCUGGGAAACUGGGUCUAAUACUGGAUACUACCUCUUACCGCAUGGUGGGUGGUGGAAAGGGUUUUACUGGUUUUGGAUGGGCUCACGGCCUAUCAGCUUGUUGGUGGGGUAAUGGCUCACCAAGGCGACGACGGGUAGCCGGCCUGAGAGGGUGACCGGCCACACUGGGACUGAGACACGGCCCAGACUCCUACGGGAGGCAGCAGUGGGGAAUAUUGCACAAUGGGCGGAAGCCUGAUGCAGCGACGCCGCGUGAGGGAUGACGGCCUUCGGGUUGUAAACCUCUUUCAGUAGGGAAGAAGCGAGAGUGACGGUACCUGCAGAAGAAGCGCCGGCUAACUACGUGCCAGCAGCCGCGGUAAUACGUAGGGCGCAAGCGUUGUCCUGGAAUUAUUGGGCGUAAAGAGCUCGUAGGCGGUUUGUCGCGUCUGCUGUGAAAGCCCGGGGCUCAACCCCGGGUCUGCAGUGGGUACGGGCAGACUAGAGUGCAGUAGGGGAGACUGGAAUUCCUGGUGUAGCGGUGAAAUGCGCAGAUAUCAGGAGGAACACCGAUGGCGAAGGCAGGUCUCUGGGCUGUUACUGACGCUGAGGAGCGAAAGCAUGGGGAGCGAACAGGAUUAGAUACCCUGGUAGUCCAUGCCGUAAACGUUGGGCACUAGGUGUGGGGGACAUUCCACGUUUUCCGCGCCGUAGCUAACGCAUUAAGUGCCCCGCCUGGGGAGUACGGCCGCAAGGCUAAAACUCAAAGGAAUUGACGGGGGCCCGCACAAGCGGCGGAGCAUGCGGAUUAAUUCGAUGCAACGCGAAGAACCUUACCAAGGCUUGACAUUCACCGGACCGCCCCAGAGAUGGGGUUUCCCUUCGGGGCUGGUGGACAGGUGGUGCAUGGUUGUCGUCAGCUCGUGUCGUGAGAUGUUGGGUUAAGUCCCGCAACGAGCGCAACCCUCGUUCUAUGUUGCCAGCACGUGAUGGUGGGGACUCAUAGGAGACUGCCGGGGUCAACUCGGAGGAAGGUGGGGAUGACGUCAAAUCAUCAUGCCCCUUAUGUCUUGGGCUUCACGCAUGCUACAAUGGCCGGUACAAAGGGUUGCGAUACUGUGAGGUGGAGCUAAUCCCAAAAAGCCGGUCUCAGUUCGGAUUGAGGUCUGCAACUCGACCUCAUGAAGUCGGAGUCGCUAGUAAUCGCAGAUCAGCAACGCUGCGGUGAAUACGUUCCCGGGCCUUGUACACACCGCCCGUCAAGUCACGAAAGUUGGUAACACCCG
rnacentral:rRNA from 1 species